rnacentral:rRNA from 1 species
CACGUAGGCGGAAGGGCAAGUCAGAUGUGAAAACCCGGGGCUUAACCGCGGGCCUGCAUUUGAAACUGCUUUUCUUGGGUACCGGAGAGGAUGGCAGAAUUCCUGGUGUAGCGGUGAAAUGCGUAGAUAUCAGGAAGAAUACCGGUGGCGAAGGCGACCAUCUGGGCGGAUACUGACGCUGAGGUGCGAAGGCCGGGGGAGCAAACA